rnacentral:tRNA from 1 species
AUCUCAGUCUGUAGAGCGUAGCGCUAACAACGCUAAGGUCACGGGUUCGAUUCCCGU